rnacentral:rRNA from 1 species
CACGGUAAACGAUGGAUGCCCGCUGUUUGCUUUUAAAGUAAGCGGCCAAGCGAAAGCAUUAAGCAUCCCACCUGGGGAGUACGCCGGCAACGGUGAAACUCAAAGGAAUUGACGGGGGCCCGCACAAGCGGAGGAACAUGUGGUUUAAUUCGAUGAUACGCGAGGAACCUUACCCGGGCUUGAACUGCCGGCGAACGAUUCAGAGAUGAUGAGGUCCUUCGGGACGCCGGUGGAGGUGCUGCAUGGUUGUCGUCAGCUCGUGCCGUGAGGUGUCGGCUUAAGUGCCAUAACGAGCGCAACCCCUUUCGCCAGUUGCCAUCAGGUGAUGCUGGGCACUCCGGCGACACUGCCACCGCAAGGUGCGAGGAAGGUGGGGAUGACGUCAAAUCAGCACGGCCCUUACGUCCGGGGCUACACACGUGUUACAAUGGGGGGCACAGCGAGCUGGGCGUACGCAAGUGCGUCCGAAUCAAGAAAUCCCCCCUCAGUUCGGACUGGGGUCUGCAACCCGACC